CCUUGAGGUGCAAGCUAGGUCCUUCAUUCCUAAAACACAUAAAAGAACCCAUCUUAGGCAGCAGCAUGUUCUCAUUAAUAUUAAAUGAAGUACCGAGGAACGAAAGUACCUGAUAAUUUAGUUGUCGUGCACGAUCUCUAGUAAUUGGUCCAUGUAUCUCCGGUACUUGAGGUGUAUGUGCUGUAGGGGCUGUGGUUGUAUCAUUAGUUGGGAUGUCCUCAUCAUCCUCCCCUUCUUGAAUCGAAGUCGUCCUCGACGGUAGUUCAUCUUCUUCUCCCAAAUAAGGCUUCAAAUCUGCAAUAUUAAACGUGGGACAAACCCCAAAAUCUGCAGGUAGCUCAAGUUUAUAUGCAUUAUCAUUAACUUUUGCUAACACCUUAAAGGGACCAUCAGCUCGUGGCAUUAACUUAGACUUGCGCAAAUCAGGGAAACGAUCUUUGCGCAAAUGCAACCAAACACGAUCUCCAGGUUCAAACACAAUUUGUUUUCUGCCCCUAUCUCCCGCAAGUUUAUACUUAGAAUUCAUGCGCUCAAUGUUCUCUUUAGUCGUCUCAUGCAUUUUUAUUAUAAGUUCAGCACGUUCCUUAGCAUCAAAGUUAACUUUUUCAGAAGUUGGCAAAGGUAACAAAUCAAUUGGUGCACGAGGCAUAAAACCAUAAACAAUUUCAAAAGGGCACAAUUUUGUGGUUGAAUGCAGUGAACGAUUAUAAGCAAAUUCAAUAUGAGGUAAACAUUCUUCCCACAUUUUCAAGUUCUUCUUUAAAACAGCCCUAAGCAUAGUAGAUAAUGUUCUAUUAACAACUUCAGUUUGUCCAUCUGUUUGGGGAUGACAUGUAGUACUAAAAAGCAAUUUGGUCCCCAACUUAGCCCAUAAACAUCUCCAAAAGUGGCUAAGAAAUUUUGUGUCACGAUCUGAAACUAUAGUAUUUGGCACACCAUGCAAGCGAACAAUUUCACGAAAGAAUAAAUCAGCAACAUUUGUAGCAUCAUCGCUCUUAUGACAAGGUAUAAAAUGUGCCAUCUUAGAAAGUCUAUCAACAACAACAAAUAUGCUAUCCCUCCCCUUCUUAGUUCGAGGCAAUCCCAAAACAAAAUCCAUUGAUAUAUCUUCCCAAGGAACAUUAGGAACAGGGAGAGGCAUAUAUAAACCAUGAGGAUUGAGUCGUGACUUAGCUUUUUGACAUGUAGUGCAACGAGCGAUAAAUCUCUCAACAUCCCGUCUCAUCCGAGGCCAAAAGAAAUGAUCAGCGAGCACAUCUUCGGUCUUUUUCACGCCGAAGUGACCCAUCAACCCUCCUCCAUGUGCCUCCUGUAACAACAAAAGACGAACGGAGCUAUCUGGGAUGCAUAGCUUGUUAGCACGGAACACAAAUCCAUCAUUAAUGACGAACUUGUUCCAUGUUCUGCCCUCUUUACAAUGCUGCAAAACAUCCUUAAAAUCUGCAUCAUGUUCGUAUUGUUCUUUUAUAGUCUCCAAUCCAAAUAUCCGAAAAUCAAGCUGAGAUAACAAGGUAUAACGACGUGAUAACGCAUCAGCAAUAACAUUAUCUUUACCCUUCUUAUGUUUAAUAACAUACGGAAAAGACUCAAUAAAUUCAACCCAUUUAGCAUGACGACGGUUCAGCUUUGCUUGACUACGAAUAUGCUUCAAAGAUUCAUGAUCAGAAUGUAUAACAAAUUCUUUGGGCCAUAAAUAAUGUUGCCAUGUUUCUAAAGUCCGAACGAGAGCAUAUAAUUCCUUAUCAUAAGUAGAAUAAUUCAGACUAGGCCCACUCAAUUUUUCACUAAAGUAUGCAACAGGUUUUCCGCCUUGUAACAACACACCUCCUAAACCGAUUCCACUAGCAUCACACUCCAACUCAAAAGUCUUAUUAAAAUCAGGAAGUUGGAGUAAAGGAGCAUGUGUCAACUUAUCUUUCAAUAUGAGAAAAGCUUCUUCUUGUGCAGCGCCCCAUACAUAUGGAACGUCCUUCUUUGUGAGCUCAUUAAGCGGUGCAGCAAGGGUGCUGAAAUCCUUUACAAAGCGGCGAUAAAACCCAGCGAGUCCAAGAAAGCUCCUCACUUGGGUGACCGUUGUUGGAGUUGGCCAGCUUUGAAUUGCGUCGAUCUUGGCCUUAUCAACUUCUAUGCCCUGUGGAGUGACAACAUAGCCAAGAAACGAAACUCGAUCGGUGCAAAAGGUGCACUUCUCAAGGUUACCAAACAAACGUGCAUCUCUCAAAGCAUCAAAAACAGCACGUAAAUGAUUCAAGUGGUCUUCUAAAGAGCUGCUGUAAAUCAAUAUAUCAUCAAAAUAAACCACCACAAAUCGUCCUAUGAAAGCACGUAAAACUUCGUUCAUUAACCGCAUGAAAGUGCUAGGUGCGUUAGUAAGACCGAAAGGCAUGACUAACCACUCAUAUAGUCCAAACUUAGUUUUAAAUGCUGUUUUCCAUUCAUCGCCUAAUUUCAUUCGAAUUUGGUGGUAACCACUACGUAAAUCAACUUUAGAAAACACGGUAGAGCCACUUAAUUCAUCUAACAUAUCAUCAAGUCUAGGAAUUGGGUGACGAUAGCGAAUAGUAAUGUUAUUAAUAGCUCUACAAUCUACACACAUACGCCAAGAACCAUCUUUCUUUGGUACCAAAAUAACAGGAACAGCACAAGGACUAAGGGAUUCACGAAUAUAACCUUUGUCGAGCAAUUCUUGAACUUGUCGUUGAAUCUCCUUCGUCUCCUCUGGAUUGGUACGGUAGGGCGCACGGUUGGGCAGCGAAGCACCAGGAAUUAAAUCAAUUUGAUGUUCAAUCCCUCGAAUAGGUGGUAAUCCUGGUGGUACGUCUUGUGGAAAGAUGUCGGAAUACUCCUGCAAAACGUGAGUAACAGCAGGGGGCAAAGAGGGAGGCAUAUCCUCAAAUGAAAACAAAGCCUCUUUGCAAAUGAAUGCAUAGCAAACAGAAUUAUUCGUAUCUAACUCAGAAAUAUCGGAUUUACUUGCAAGCAAGCAUGCACGUUUCAAUUUAAUUUCAUUAACAUGUUUCGGUUCAGAUUUGCUAGUAGACGCUUGGUGCUUAAAUUCUUUAGCGACAUUAUGGUUCUCACUCUUAUCCUUCUCUUUGCUCUUUGCUCUACUAGCUCUAGCAAGAUCAUCUUUCACAAUUUGUUCAGGAGUCAUAGGUUUCAAACCAAUUUUCUUACCAGCAUGCAUAAAAGAAUAAUGAUUAGUUCUACCAUGAUGAACAGAAUCUGUAUCAUAUUGCCAUGGACGACCGAGUAACAUAGAACAUGCUUGCAUAGGUACCACAUCACAAUCCACAAAAUCAGAAUAUGUACCAAUAGUAAAGUGUGCACGGACUGUUCUAGUUACCUUGAGCUUACCGCUGUUGUUAAACCAUUGAAUGUAGUAAGGGUGGGGGUGCGGCCUGGUGGUAAGAACAAGUUUUUCCACCAUCUCCGUGCUGGCCAAAUUAUUGCAACUUCCCCCAUCUAUGAUGAUACGAACAGCGCGUUCCUUGAUGACCCCUUUUGUUUGGAACAAGUUAUGCCGCUGAUUUUGUUCGGCGUGGCUCAUUUGGACGCUCAAGGUGCGUUGUGCAAUCAAACUCAAGUACUGAUCAGCGGCUUCAGCUCCCAUUAACUCCUCGUCAUGGUGGGCAGCGGGGUCUUCUUGCUCUUCCUCGACAAUGAGAGCAUAGGUAGCUUCGUCAAAAUCACUGGCUGAAUCAUAUACUCCGUCUUCACGUAUGAUCAUAACGCGUUUGGUUGGACAGUCCCGCUGAAAAUGCCCGUAUCCUUUGCACCUACGACAUUGGUUAUCUCCGGUCCGUCCGGUGGAAGCAACGGACGCUGCUGAACUUUGUGCAGAGGCAGCGGGUGUAUUUCUUGUUGCUGCUGGUCCAACCUUUGCGGAUGUAGGUGUAGAGGUACUUUGCUUGUUGGUGGAAGUAGUCGGAACAGCCGGACGUGUAGGGGGUGCAGCUGGGCGUGUGGAAGGGGCAGCGGGGCUGCGUGCUGCCCAUGAGGAAGUACGACCUGCAGAAAAGUUAGUCCGCGCGUUCGCGUGUCGUCCCUGCACUUCCCUUUCAGCUUUGCAAGCAAUGUGAAACAAUCGAUUGAUAGAAUUAUACUCCUUAUAAUCAACAAUGUCAGCAAUUUCACGAUUUAAACCACCAAAGAAUCUAGCCAUAGCAGCUUCCUCAUUCUCAACUAAACCACAACGUAACAUGUUCUUUUGCAUUUCUUGAUAAUAAUCUUGGACAGAAUUACUACCUUGCCUUAAUUGUUGUAGUUUCUUUAACAAGUCACGCGAAUAGUAUGAAGGAACAUAUCUAGCGCGCAUAAUUCUUUUCAAAUCAUCCCAUGUUGGUGGUAUAGCGUUAGGAUGUGCAAUACAAUACUCAUGCCACCAAACAGAAGCAAAAUCAGUAAACUCACUAGUAGCAGCCCUAACCCUCUUAUUAGCAGGAAAAUCAUGGCAAGUAAAUUUUUGACUCAAUUCUAAUUCCCAUGUAAGGUAAGCAUCAGGGUCAUAUUUUCCAUCAAAAGGAGGAACCUUAAGUUUAAUAGAAUGCAGCGAGUCAUGUUCCUCUCUGUGAGGUCGUGUCGGUCCCAUACCUCGGCGGUUGAAACGAGUUCGGCGAUGAUCACGGUCGUUGUGAUGGUUUACGGCCCCGUCGUGUUCCGUAUCCGCGGAGUAGUCGUCGUCGUUCUCCUCAACCUCGCUUGCGAAGGUACCCUUAUUAGCGGUCCGCUGGUUGUGUGUAUUGUUUCCUCCCGGUGUAGCGAUGGUCGUUGCAGCAAUUGCCGCCAGUUGCGUCGUGAUUUCUGCCAGAGAAGUACUAAUGGUAGCAACAGAAUUCUGUAAAGAUGUUAGCUUGGUAUUUGUUUCAAUGUGCGCGCUCUCCAAGGUUCCAAGUCUCUCAUUCGCAACCCGAACGUCCUCAUCCAGCUCCUCGUUACGGAGCCUAAGCUUGCGAUCAAAAUGUGAAAUAAUGCCCUUUGUGCGUGGAGAGUGGCCUUGUAAAUCAUCGUCAGAACCUGCCAUCGUUAGGAGAAAACAAGAAACAAAUCACAAGGAAAAAUCCCUAUGCACUACUAGGAUGUGGGGUUCCAAAGAUCACUCCACUCAACUUUUAAUCAAGUUCUUACUCGUUCUUACCCCGCAAACAGGAAGGUGAUGGCCAGCAGCGAGAACAAGCCCUCCGAAGAUUAGUGUAUCGAUGCCUCGAGGCAAACCAACCUAGGUGUAGAAUCUGUGGAGCUUGGAGGCUUAUGUGAGUAGCAAGGAAAAGCGAAUAAUCAAAUCAGCAAUGCAAAGUUGAAAAUAUGCUCAAAAAUGCUAGUCCUAGUUGCUGGAGUCGACAAGAACGAAUUACAGAAAUUAACUAAGCCUAGAUACUGAAAAAGGUAGAAAGGAAAGAUCAAAUGAAAGGUAAAACAAGUAAAUCUCUGGGGAAUAUUUUUUCUCUCUUUUUUUUUUUCUUUUUGUGGCCUUCUGUUUGGCUUCUUAUUCUUUUCUAUUUUUUUUUUAUCCCCAGAAACUCACGCAAAAGAAGUUAAGACCGGAAAGCUGCACGUCGGUCUGUAGGAGAAUAGCAAAGGCUGUAGUAAGGAAAACUCAGAAAAAUAUGAGAAAAUAUGGGUUAGAAGCGUAUCAAAACAAGCUUUCCAACAAGUGCAAGAUCACUCGAAACGGAGGUCGGACGGUGGAGAAAACUGAGAUAUACUGCGCUGCCCCGGUGCCGUAAAACGGGUGCAGAAACUUUGGAGCUCGAAAAGUCCACCUUAGAGGCCGAAUUUGAGGGUCAAAGUGCAGGGCCCUGCCCUGGAUAUUUCCUGAUGCACCUCGUCGUGAGCUUUCCAAAAAGUCCAAGAACGUCCAAAUCCGAGUUGGUAUGCAAAAGAUACGUCCGUUUUACUGAACACGGGUCAAACCCACCCGAAACUAAAAUUCUACUCGGACUCGGGUCCGAAACUGACUCGAACUCUUUCUCUCUUUUUUUUUUUCCGUUUUUUUUUCUUUCUUUCUUCCUUUUUUUUUUCUUUCCCUUCUUUUUUUUUUUCACAACUUUCUGAACAACUUGAUCUCUAAACAAAAAUCGAUCUAUUAUGAAACACUUUCCAAAAGCACUCUUGAUUGGACUCGGACUCGAACUCGCGGCUGAAAACUAUAACUUGCCGACUCGAUGUUGGACUCGGUGUAGGACUCAAAGAGGGACUCGGUGUAGGACUGGAAGAGGGACUCGGUGUAGGACUGGAAGAAGGACUCGGUGUAGGACUCAAAGAGGGACUCGGUGGAAGAUAUGGUGGCGGCGGAAGAUUAUGGCGGUGGUGUGGCAGGAAGUUUGGCGGCGGAAGAUUGAUGAAGGAAACCUGCGUCACACGAAGAACAAGAAAACCAAAAGCAAGUUCGAUCUAGUAGAAAAAAUCUGAAAAACGAUCCAAUCUAAUCCAGCAACUCGACACGAUUAAUGCAGCAAAGAUUCAACAAUGCAAAUACUAAUGUGAAAAUUGCAAGGCUCAGAUUGGUUCUAGGACAAGGUAACUAAUUCUAAUUUUUGUUUGGCUUUUUCUGGACGAUAGGUAAAAACAGAUCUAAACUACGGAUAAACUGGAAAAAUCUCACCGAGCAACCUUAAGCUCUGAUACCACGUGAUAGCCUCGAGGGUGUCCCGAUCUUUCGAUGAGAUACCUAAUUAUCGAUUUGGUAGGAGGUGACGUUGACGAUCCGACUACAACCUAGGAGGCAGCGCCUUAGCGAUCGAUACACCAACUCCAGAAGGUUAUUGAUCCCGCGGGGGCACGAUCAACCUGACCACGAAGGUCUUUGUUCCUGCAAGCAAUCGAAGAACAAGCAAGAACAAGAUGAAAAGCAAUCUGAAAUUGCGAAUAGGAGAUAUGAAGGUUCACGAAUCUGAAUACUCAAUAUAGUUGGAGUCUUGAUGACGGUAAAACAGGUGGUCUAACCGACACACGCGAUUACACGAAAGUAGCAAAGGCUAAACUUUAUCUAAUCAAAACCCAAGGCUCCAUGGGGGGGCUCAUGGGGUAUAAAUAGGAGGGGAACUAGGUGGUUUUCGGACAGGUCCUUGAGGGACUCCGAAACGGCCUAGGAAUCCUCCUAAAACACAACGAAAACAUCUAAAAAUUGGCUGGACCCUAUUACAUGGCCUUAGGCCCAAUAAAGCAAGGUUAUAACCCUCAUCUUUGGCCCAUAGAUACCCAUUGGAGGGAGAAUCCUCCACUUGGCCGAAAUCCCAUUGAUGAAGAGGAUGCGGCCUUCUUCUCAUCUCUCGUUAUGGCGGUUUCAAUGUUCUGAAAUCAUCACUUGAGCUAGCUCCCGCCACCUUGCUGCCACCUCCAUGGUUUGCUGUCCAACGCUGAUCCUUGAGGUGCAAGCUAGGUCCUUCAUUCCUAAAACACAUAAAAGAACCCAUCUUAGGCAGCAGCAUGUUCUCAUUAAUAUUAAAUGAAGUACCGAGGAACGAAAGUACCUGAUAAUUUAGUUGUCGUGCACGAUCUCUAGUAAUUGGUCCAUGUAUCUCCGGUACUUGAGGUGUAUGUGCUGUAGGGGCUGUGGUUGUAUCAUUAGUUGGGAUGUCCUCAUCAGCAGAGCUUUUUCUUUUUCUUUUUUCGGCCGAAAUACAAAUAGCACUUUUGGAGAAAAGCACCUGUAAUUUCAAAUGCUUAUAACUUUUAAACCCUUUGGCCAAAUUUGACAAACUCGACCUUUUUGGAAAGCUCUCAAUCCGUAGAAUCUUUUGGCACUAUCCAAUUUCAA
rnacentral:lncRNA from 1 species